AUUGAACGCUGGCGGCAUGCUUUACACAUGCAAGUCGAACGGUAACAGGCCUUCGGGCGCUGACGAGUGGCGAACGGGUGAGUAAUGCAUCGGAACGUGCCCAGUCGUGGGGGAUAACGCAGCGACAGCUGUGCUAAUACCGCAUACGAUCUGCGGAUGAAAGCGGGGGACCUUCGGGCCUCGCGCCAUUGGAGCGGCCGCUGUCAGAUUAGGUAGUUGGUGGGGUAAAGGCCCACCAAGCCGACGAUCUGUAGCUGGUCGGAGAGGACGACCAGCCACACUGGGACUGAGACACGGCCCAGACUCCUACGGGUGGCAGCAGUGGGGAAUGUUGGACAAUGGGCGCAAGCCUGAUCCAGCAAUGCCGCGUGCAGGAAGAAGGCCUUCGGGUUGUAAACUGCUUUUGUACGGAGCGAAAAGGCUCCCACUAAUACAGGGGGCUCAUGACGGUACCGUAAGAAUAAGCACCGGCUAACUACGUGCCAGCAGCCGCGGUAA
rnacentral:rRNA from 1 species